UACGGGGGGGGCAAGCGUUGUUCGGAGUUACUGGGCGUAAAGGGCUCGUAGGUGGCCAACUAAGUCAGACGUGAAAUCCCCAGGCUCAACUUGGGAACUGCGUCUGAUACUGGAUGGCUUGAAUUCGGGAGAGGGAUGCAGAAUUCCAGGUGUAGCGGUGAAAUGCGUAGAUAUCUGGAGGAAUACCGGUGGCGAAGGCGGCAUCCUGGACCGAGAUUGACACUGAUGAGCGAAAGCUAGGGGAGCAAACGGG
rnacentral:rRNA from 1 species